CUCAGCAUAUGAGCGAACUCCUUCAAGACUGUUGGAAAGGCAUUCCAGGAACGGGAUUUUCUGCAUUUGGUUCAUGAGCAGAAAGCCUACUCUUCCCAGGAUGGUCUCUGCUCUCUCUGAUGAAACCUUCCCAUUGGAGCACUUGGAAUGGGCACAAUCCACCUCACUCUUCAAUCCCUCCCUCGGGCUCACCUCCUCAGUGACGCUCCUCUCUUCACUCUCAAUUUCAAUGCCUAUCCAAUAAUCCUAACAGGAAGACAUUGACUUAAGAUGUAAUAUUGUUCCAAUGUGGCAAAUUCAAUACACAAUUGAGUGAUCAACAUACAAUGAUGGCCAAUUAACCCUAGUGAGGGGUGAUGUUUUAUACUGUGAGCAAAGAGCAGCAGGGUUGGGGUCAAUUCCAUUUCAAUUCCGAUCAAAAGACUCUAAGAUUCCAAUUCUCUUCAACGCUUUGAGUUGAAAUAGAACUGACCACCAUCCCUGUGAAGUUUUAGUGUGAAAUAGGACACCUACCUUUACCUCUUCCAGGGUCCAGGGCCUGGGUUCCUCAUCCUCUGACCUGCAUAUGGUGGCUCCAACUCUAACAGGCAUCUUAGUGACCAUGCAGAUCAGAGGGGUGGGCAGCUCAUCAUUGCGGGUUGCCAGAGUUAAGUUAGCAUCUGAGACCAGUUCUUCAGCGUGAGGGCAGAUAUCCACCUCCUCAGUAGUGCCCCUCCCUUUCUGAUCUGGCUGCUUGUGGUCCUUGUCAUGGAUGCAUGCCAGGCUUGGAGGAAGUGCAUGGACAGGGCUUUUAUCACCCAUCAUUUCCUCUCUCUUGACAGUGGAUGCAACUGCACUUUCCUCUAUGUCAACUGAGCACUCUGUGGUGUUCUCAACGAUCUCCUCUGGCUGUUUGUGGUCAAUAUUGUGGGUGCAGGGCUUCCUUAGAGACAGUGCUGUGGGUGCAGGAGGACUUUUAUCAGUCAAAAACUCCUCUUGGAGGACAGUGGACACGGAAGCGGCUGCUUCACUGGCAACUGGACACUUGGAGGUGCCCUCUACUGCCUCCUCUGGCAGUUUGUAGUCAUUGUCAAAGGCAAGUUGCAGGCUUGAAGGCAGCACUGAGGGAAGACCUGUAGCUGCUGAUGGAUCCUCUCUAUUAGCAACUGAUGCCUCUGCGGCGACUAAGCACUCAGUGGUGCCCUCUGUCGUCUCCUCUGGCUGCUUAUGGUCAUUGUCCAAAACGUGUGACAAGCUUGGAGGCAGCCUUGGUGCAGGGCUUUUAUCCAGGUCCUCUCCCUGGGCAAAGGAUGUGCCUACAGUGAUCUCUGUGGCAACGUAGGACUCGGGUACAUCCUCUUUUUCCUCCUUGGUCAGUUUGUGGUCAGAGUCACAGAUACAUGGUGAGCUUGGAGGCAGUGCUGCAGGGUCAGGAGGGCUUUGAUCAGCUGCCAUGUCCUCUUUGAGGUGAGUGGACACAUCAUUGGUUGUUUCACUGGCAACUGGACACCUGUUGGUUCCCUCUACUGCCGCCCCUGGCAGUUUGUAUUCAAUGUCAAAGACACGUGGCAGACUUGGAGGCAGCAUUGGGACAGGGCAUUUAGCUGCUGAUCUGUCCACUCCAUCAACAGUAGCUGUGCCUGAAGUGGCCUCUGUAGCAAAUGAGACCACAUAGGCAUCCUCUACUGUGUGCUCUGGAGGCAUGAAGUCAUCGUCAAAGACUGGUGGCAGGCAUGAAGGCAGCACUGAAGGAAGAAUUCUAGCUGCGCAUCGGUUCUCUCUCUUGACAGUGGCUGUACCUGCAGUGGCAACUGUGGCAACUCGGCACUCCAUGGCUGAAACAUCAAACUGGGAUGUUUCCGGGACAUUGAAUGAAUUGCCAAUGAACCGCUGAGCCAGUGGUGGGAGGGAGAAAGGAUAGAAUCUGUCCUCUUCCUUGAUAUUAGAUAUUGCCACUGGAGCAACUGAGACCUCAGUGGUUCCCUCUACUGUCUGCUGUGGUGGAAUGGAGUCAUCGUUAAAGAAGUGUGGCAGGUAUCGAUGCAGCAUUGAGGAUAGAUGUGUAUCUGUCGAUAAGUCCUCUCUUUUACCAGCAGAUACAUCUGCAGUGGCCUCUGUGGAAACUGGGCACUCAGCAGGGACAAAGUAGGAGAAUACAAUGAACCGCUGUGCAUCCUGAGUGCGUAUGGCCAAUGGAGAGGGGGGAUGCAAAAUGGUUGGUAUAGGCCUCCGAUUGGUGAAAGCCAGUGGUGGGAGGGAGUCAAUACAGGGAGCCAUGAACUCAGUGAGUGGACGGUUGAUCACAUCUCUCACAUUCUGCAGGAGAAAAGAAACAGACAUGAUGAAAGUGAUCACAUUCAGUACAUAUAUUCUUUAUGAGUGAACACUAUGUACUUAUACAUCACAGAUACAAUGCCUUCGGAAAGUAUUCAGACCCUUUCACUUUUUCCACAUUUUGUUACCUCACAGCCUUAUUCUAAAAUGGAUUAAAUCUUUUUUUUCGCUCAUCAAUCUUCACACAAUACCCCAUAUUGACAAAGCAACAACAGAAUCGUUCCAAAUUCAUUUCAAAUAUAAAUAAUGGGUAUUUACAUAAGUAUUCAGUACUUUGUUGAAGCACCUUUGGCAGCGAUUACAGCAUAGAAUCUUCUUGGGUUUUACUCUACAAGCUUGGCAUGCUUGUGUUUGGGGAGUUUCUCCCAUUCUUCUCUGCAGAUCCUCUCAAGCUCUGUUAGGUUGGAUGGAGAGAGUUGUUGCACAGCUAUUUUCAGGUCUCUCCAGAGAUGUUCGAUCUGGUUCAAGUCCGGGCUCUGGCAAGGCCAUUCAAGGACAUUCAGAGACUUGUCCCAAAGUCACUCCUACGGUGUCUUGUCUUUGUGCUUAGGGUCGUUGUUCUGUUGUAAGGUGACCCAUCGCCCCCAGUCUGAGGUCCUGGGCGCUCUGGAGCAGAUUUUCAUCAAGGAUCUCGCUGUGCUCCGUUCAUCUUUGCCUCGAUCCUGACUAGUCUCCUAGUCCACACCGCUGAAAAACAUCCCCACAGCAUGACGCUGACACCACCGUGCUUCACUGUGCCGUAGCUGCCAGAUUUCCUCCAGACUUGACGCUUUGCAAUCAGGCCAAAGAGUUCAAUCUUGGUUUCAUCAGACCAGAGCAUCUUGUUUCUCAUGGUCUGAGAGUCUUUCGGUGCCUGUUGGCAAACUCCAAGCGGGCUGUCAUGUGCCUUUUACUGAUGAGUGGCUUCCAUCUGGUCACCCUACCCUAAAGGCCUGAUUGGUGAAGUGCUGCAGAGAUGGUUGUCCUUCUGGAAGGUUCUCCUAUCUCCACAGAGGAACUCUUGAGCGCUGUCAGAGUCACCAUCAAGUUCUUGGUCACCUCCCUGACCAAGACCCUUCUUCUCUGAAUGCUCAGCUUGGCCCAGGCUGCCAGCUCUAGGAAGAGUCUUGGUGGUUCCAAAUUUCUUCCAUUUAAGUAUGAUGGAGACCACUGUGUUCUUGGGGACCUUCAAUGGUGCAGAGAUUUUUUUGGUACCCUUCCCUAGAUCUGUUUCUCGACACAAUCUUGUCUCGGGAACUCUACGGACAAUUCCUUCGACCUCAUGGUUUGGUAUUUGCUCUGACAUGCACUGUCAACUGUGGGACCUUACAUAGACAGGUGUGUGCCUUUCCACAUGUCCAAUCAAGUUGUAGAAACAUCUCAAGGACGAUUGUGGGAGAAAAUCAUAUACAUGAUUAUAGUAAUACAAGAAAAAAUACAUGUAUGGGUUAAUUUCCUGUUCUGGUAAAAUGCAUUGUCUAUUGUAUAGGACAGAAAGCCGAGAAAGACCAUGGGAG